UGUUAUAACCACUCAACCAUUACAAGGACC
rnacentral:piRNA from 1 species